rnacentral:rRNA from 1 species
AUUGAACGCUGGCGGCAUGCUUUACACAUGCAAGUCGAACGGCAGCACGGGGGCAACCCUGGUGGCGAGUGGCGAACGGGUGAGUAAUGCAUCGGAACGUACCCAGGUCGUGGGGGAUAACGCAGCGAAAGUUGUGCUAAUACCGCAUACGACCUGAAGGGUGAAAGCGGGGGACCGUAAGGCCUCGCGCGAUUGGAGCGGCCGAUGUCUGAUUAGCUAGUUGGUGGGGUAAAGGCCCACCAAGGCGACGAUCAGUAGCGGGUCUGAGAGGAUGAUCCGCCACACUGGGACUGAGACACGGCCCAGACUCCUACGGGAGGCAGCAGUGGGGAAUUUUGGACAAUGGGGGCGAACCCUGAUCCAGCCAUGCCGCGUGCGGGAAGAAGGCCUCGGUUGUAACG